UACAGAGGGUGCAAGUGUUAAUCGGAAUUACUGGGCGUAAAGCGUGCGUAGUCGGUUAUCUAAGUCGGAUGUGAAAUCCCCGGGCUCAACCUGGGAGUUGCAUUCGAUACUGGAUAGCUAGAGUUCGGCAGAGGGAAGUGGAAUUUCGGGUGUAGCGGUGAAAUGCGUAGAUAUCCGAAGGAACAUCAGUGGCGAAAGCGACUUCCUGGACCAGAACUGACGAUCAGGCACGAAAGCGUGGGGAUCAAACAGG
rnacentral:rRNA from 1 species